rnacentral:rRNA from 1 species
GACGAACGCUGGCGGCGUGCUUAACACAUGCAAGUCGAACGGAAAGGCCCUGAUCUUGGGGUUCUCAAGUUGGGAACGGGCGAGUAACAAACGCGUGAAUAGCCUACCUCUAAGACUUAAGCCACGGCGAGAAACCGUAGCACCGGCCAGAUGAUAUUUUUAGCGUCAUGGUUGGAAAGUUAAUUAGGGGUUUGCUGUCAUCGCUGCCUAUCAGCUUGUUGGUGGGGUUAUGGCCUACCAAGGCGGCGUAGGGUAGCCGCCCUGCGUGGGUGGACGGCGACAUUGGGACUGAGAUACGGCCCAGGCUGCUACGGGAGGCAGCAGGGGGGAAGAUUGCAGAAUGGGCGCAAGCCUGAUGCAGCGGCGCCGCGUGGGGGAUAACGGCCUUCGGGGUGUAAACUCCUUUCGCUAGGGACGAAGCUUUUGUGACGGUACCUAGAUAAGAAGCACCGGCUAACUACGUG